GUGUCAGCAGCCGCGGUAAUACCGGCAGUCCGAGUGAUGGCCGAUCUUAUUGGGCCUAAAGCGUCCGUAGCUGGCCGGACAAGUCCGUUGGGAAAUCUGCUCGCUUAACGAGCAGGCGUCCAGCGGAAACUGUUCGGCUUGGGACCGGAAGACCUGAGGGGUACGUCCGGGGUAGGAGUGAAAUCCUGUAAUCCUGGACGGACCAUCGGUGGCGAAAGCGCCUCAGGAGGACGGAUCCGACAGUGAGGGACGAAAGCUAGGGUCUCGAACCGGAUUAGAAACCCCCGUAGUCC
rnacentral:rRNA from 1 species